CGGCGGGCGGGCGGCGGGCGGAAGGCAUCACUUUGUCCGGACUCUAAUUCAAAUUGUAUUCAUCCGAUCUUCACCAAACUUGGUCAGCAGUUGCAUCUAGUUGAUAUCUAGGCCAAGUUCGAAUAUGGGUCAUGCCGGGUCAAAAACUAGGUCAUAGGGUCAAUAAGUGCAUUUUCAAAGGGGCCACUUUGUCCGGACUCUAUUUCUCACUUUGUCCGGACUCUAAUUCAAAUUGUAUUCAUCCGAUCUUCACCAAACUUGGUCAGCAGUUGCAUCUAGUUGAUAUCUAGGCCAAGUUCGAAUAUGGGUCAUGCCGGGUCAAAAACUAGGUCAUAGGGUCAAUAAGUGCAUUUUCAAAGGGGCCACUUUGUCCGGACUCUAUUUCAAAUUGUAUUCAUCCGAUCUUCACCAAACUUGGUCAGCAGUUGCAUCUAGUUGAUAUAUAGGCCAAGUUCGAAUAUGGGUCAUGCCGGGUCAAAAACUAGGUCAUAGGGUCAAUUAGUGCAUUUUCAACGGCGCCACUUUGUCCGGACUCUAAUUCAAAUUGUAUUCAUCCGAUCUUCACCAAACUUGGUCAGUAGUUGCAUCUAGUUGAUAUCUAGGCCAAGUUCGAAUAUGGGUCAUGCCAGGUAAAAAACUAGGUCAUAGGGUCAAUUAGUCCAUUUUCAACAGCGCCACUUUGUCCGGACUCUUAUUCAAAUUGUAUUCAUCCGAUCUUUACCAAACUUGGUCAGUAGUUGCAUCUAGUUGAUGUUUUUUUUGCUUAUUUCCAAAACAAAUACAUCAAUCAUCAGUGUAUCAUCUCCAAUGGCACACGAAUCGGGCGUAUAUUGCUCCGUCAUGCGGCGCUCUUGUUGAUCAAUAUAACUAUUAUGCAUACAAUGUGUUAUUAUUCUUACCUCAAAGGAGCCAUAUCAAUACAAAUUACAACUUUCCUUCAAGUGAACAGGUUGACACGAGUGACUGGUGUAUCGGGCAUAUCUAGGUUUUAAAAAUGACAAUGAGAUUUACUAUACGGUUAAACAUUGUUAUAACUGGUGACACGAUUACAAGCGGUACAUUUACCGGUAGUUUCAUACAAAUGUUACAUAAAUUCAUGUGCCAUAUCAAGUACAAGCGGCACGUACAUCGAUAGUUCGCAUACCCAUGUUCAAGUAAUAUCUAUUACAAGAGACAAUUGUACCUUAGUUGGCAUAGUCAUGUUCAAGUGAACAAUGUCGCAUGCGUGAUAUCAUUCAAGCGUCACGUGUAUCGGUGGUUUAUAUACGCAUAUUCAAGAGAUCCAUGUCGCAUGCGUGACAUAACAAGCGCCACGUGUACCAGUAGUUUGUAUACCCAUGUUCAAGAUACAUAACGCACGUGUGAUAUCAAUUACAAGCGGUACAUGUACUAGUACUUUGAUAUAAAUGACGAGCGUCACUUGUAACGGCGGUUGACAUACGCAUGCCCAAGAGAUCCAUGUCGCCUGAGUGAUGUUUAUGGCAAGCGUCACGUGUACCGUUAGUUGACAUACGCAUGCUCAAGAGAUCCAUGUCGCCUGCGUGAUGUUCAUGACAAGCGUCAAGUGUACCGAUAGUUGACAUACGCAUGCACAAGAGAUCCAUGUCGCCUGCGUGAUGUUCAUGGCAAGCGUCACGUGUACCGUUAGUUGACAUACGCAUGCUCAAGAGAUCCAUGUUAAAGUUGGCGCAAACCAACCAACCAACAGACCAACCAAUAGACCAACCAACAGACAGGGCAAAAACAAUAUGUCCCCCACUACUAUAGUGGGGGACAUAAAAAGCAAGGCAAUCAAAUCACAUCGAUAACAACGUUGAACUUCCAUCAUAUACCUUUUUGGCAAAUAUGGAAGUUAUGUAUUAAAUAAUAAUAACAAUACAGUGUUGUUGUUUUGUCAUUUAUUAAGUAUACAGAUCAUUGCAAGAUUCUGAUGGCUUUUCUUGAAAUGCAUCACCAGCCGUCUGGAACACUGAAAAAAAGGCAAUGUAUACUCUGUUAAGUUAUGGUGAAAAACAAAUUAUUUGCAUUUUUUGUACAAAAAUAAAUUAAAAAGGCUCACAUUAUACUGCAAGCAAUUCAUAAGUUGCCUGCUGGUGACCCCCCCCCCCCAACAUCAUUAACAAUAGUGCAUUGUCUGUAUAUUACCAUCAAUUCAAGAUUGUAUGAUUCAAUCUCAAUGGUUUGUUUUGGUUAAAAUUGGUACAAUGAAUCAUAUUUAUUUUAAGCUAACUCACAUGCAAUAGUUACUGAGAAACGG